AUGACACCACAACUUCACAUACGUCGCCAUCUCUUUACUUUCCUAUAGUUAUCUUCUAGACUGUGUCUUCUCCUUAUCUCCAGUUUUCAUUCUGUAUUUUUUUUCUUUUUAGUAAGAGGAAAUAACUCUACAUUCAAAUUUGAGCAGGGCACUUGGUGACCUACUUAGACAUGACAUUCCUUGGCCUCCCUUUCAGCAAGAUGAGAAAACUGAGGCACAGAGAGGUGAAAUAAGGCCCCCAGAAUGCUCUUCUCCAAGACUUAGAAAAAUCAAAUGCUAUCCAUCCCUCAAGAUACAUCCCUCCAGCCCCUCCUUGAAGUCUCCUGCAGCUAGAAGUAGAAGUAGCAUCUAUCCCCAUCUGGACUCCUUAGCACUUUGCUGUACCUGCCUUAGUCCCCAUCUCUUUACACACACACACACACACACACACACACACACAGAGUAUUAUAAUACUAUUACCUAUUAUAUUACAUUAUAUUAUUGUAGUUCUACAGGAACUACAAGGAAUUCUACUGUGAAUUCCUUAAGGGUGGGAUACAUUUUACAAUCAUCACUGUUUCUCUCAUUAGUUGUGGAAUCAAAAAAAUGAGUGCACGAUGAAAAAUUAUUCAAACACAUACAUGCUUUCAUUCCAAUUGAAAAUGUAAAAAUAUUACUGUUAAAACAAUAUUAAAGGACAUGUAAUACAAUUCA
rnacentral:lncRNA from 1 species